rnacentral:rRNA from 1 species
UACGAAGGGGGCGAGCGUUGUUCGGAGUUACUGGGCGUAAAGGGCGCGUAGGCGGCGAUCCAAGUUAGGCGUGAAAGCCCCGGGCUUAACCUGGGAAUUGCGCUUAAGACUGGACUGCUUGAGUGCGGGAGAGGUGAGUGGAAUUCCCAGUGUAGAGGUGAAAUUCGUAGAUAUUGGGAAGAACACCAGUGGCGAAGGCGGCUCACUGGCCCGCAACUGACACUGAGGCGCGAAAGCGUGGGGAGCAAACAGG